rnacentral:rRNA from 1 species
GAUGAACGCUAGCGGCAGGCCUAACACAUGCAAGUCGAGGGGCAGCAUGAUUAAUAGCAAUAUUAAUUGAUGGCGACCGGCGCACGGGUGCGUAACACGUAUGCAAUCUACCUUAUACAGGGGCAUAACUUCGAGAAAUCGGUGCUAAUUCCCCAUAACACUAUGACUGGGCAUCCAGCUGUAGUUAAAGUUUCGGCGGUAUAAGAUGAGCAUGCGUCCAAUUAGCUAGUAGGUGAGGUAAUGGCUCACCUAGGCUACGAUUGGUAGGGGUUCUGAGAGGAUGAUCCCCCACACUGGUACUGAGACACGGACCAGACUCCUACGGGAGGCAGCAGUGAGGAAUAUUGCGCAAUGGACGAAAGUCUGACGCAGCCAUGCCGCGUGAAGGAUUGAAGGUCCUAUGGAUUGUAACUUCUUUUGUACGGGAAUAAACCCUACCUCGUGAGGUAGGCUGAAGGUACCGUAAGAAUAAGCACCGGCUAACUCCGUGCCAGCCGCCGCCGUAACAC